rnacentral:rRNA from 1 species
UGGGCGUAAAGGGUGCGUAGGUGGUUAAUUAAGUUAUCUGUGAAAUUCCUGGGCUUAACCUAGGGAGGUCAGAUAAUACUGUUUAACUCGAGUAUGGGAGAGGGUAGUGGAAUUUCCGGUGUAGCGGUGAAAUGCGUAGAGAUCGGAAGGAACACCAGUGGCGAAGGCGGCUACCUGGCC